CCAACGGCUGAACCGACGGCCUACACAUGCAGUCGAGCGGAUGACGGGAAGCUUGCUCCUUGAUUCAGCGGCGGACGGGUGAGUAAUGCCUAGGAAUCUGCCUGGUAGUGGGGGACAACGUUUCGAAAGGAACGCUAAUACCGCAUACGUCCUACGGGAGAAAGCAGGGGACCUUCGGGCCUUGCGCUAUCAGAUGAGCCUAGGUCGGAUUAGCUAGUUGGUGGGGUAAUGGCUCACCAAGGCGACGAUCCGUAACUGGUCUGAGAGGAUGAUCAGUCACACUGGAACUGAGACACGGUCCAGACUCCUACGGGAGGCAGCAGUGGGGAAUAUUGGACAAUGGGCGAAAGCCUGAUCCAGCCAUGCCGCGUGUGUGAAGAAGGUCUUCGGAUUGUAAAGCACUUUAAGUUGGGAGGAAGGGCAGUAAGUUAAUACCUUGCUGUUUUGACGUUACCGACAGAAUAAGCACCGGCUAACUCUGUGCCAGCAGCCGCGGUAAUACAGAGGGUGCAAGCGUUAAUCGGAAUUACUGGGCGUAAAGCGCGCGUAGGUGGUUUGUUAAGUUGGAUGUGAAAGCCCCGGGCUCAACCUGGGAACUGCAUCCAAAACUGGCAAGCUAGAGUACGGUAGAGGGUGGUGGAAUUUCCUGUGUAGCGGUGAAAUGCGUAGAUAUAGGAAGGAACACCAGUGGCGAAGGCGACCACCUGGACUGAUACUGACACUGAGGUGCGAAAGCGUGGGGAGCAAACAGGAUUAGAUACCCUGGUAGUCCACGCCGUAAACGAUGUCAACUAGCCGUUGGAAUCCUUGAGAUUUUAGUGGCGCAGCUAACGCAUUAAGUUGACCGCCUGGGGAGUACGGCCGCAAGGUUAAAACUCAAAUGAAUUGACGGGGGCUCGCACAAGCGGGUGGAGCAUGUGGUUUAAUUCGAAGCAACGCGAAGAACCUUACAGGCCUUUGACAUGCAGAGAACUUUUCCAGAGAUGGAUUGGUUGCCUUCGGGAACUCUGACACAGGUGCUGCAUGGCCUGUCGUCAGCUCGUGUCGUGAGAUGUUGGGUUAAGUCCCCGUAAACGAAGCGCCACCCUUGGUCCUUAGUACCAGCACGUUAAGGGUGGCGCACUCUAAGGAAGCCGCCGGGACACAACGAAGGUAAGGGGGGGACGUACGUCUAGUAUCUGGUCUCUCAGCGUCCUAG
rnacentral:rRNA from 1 species